AUUGAACGCUGGCGGAAUGCUUUACACAUGCAAGUCGAGCGGCAGCACGGGGGCAACCCUGGUGGCGAGCGGCGAACGGGUGAGUAAUACAUCGGAACAUGCCCAGUCGUGGGGGAUAACACUUCGAAAGAAGUGCUAAUACCGCAUACGUCCUGAGGGAGAAAGCGGGGGAUCGCAAGACCUCGCGCGAUUGGAGUGGCCGAUGUCAGAUUAGCUAGUUGGUGGGGUAAAGGCCUACCAAGGCAACGAUCUGUAGCUGGUCUGAGAGGAUGAUCAGCCACACUGGGACUGAGACACGGCCCAGACUCCUACGGGAGGCAGCAGUGGGGAAUUUUGAACAAUGGGGGCAACCCUGAUCCAGCCAUUCCGCGUGAGUGAAGAAGGCCUUCGGGUUGUAAAGCUCUUUCGGCAGGAACGAAACGGCGAGCUCUAACAUAGCUUGCUAAUGACGGUACCUGAAGAAGAAGCACCGGCUAACUACGUG
rnacentral:rRNA from 1 species